AUACGUAGGGAGCAAGCGUUGUCCGGAAUUACUGGGCGUAAAGGGCGUGUAGGCGGCCGAUCAAGGCAGGUGUGAAAUUUCAGGGCUCAACGCUGAGCGUGCACUUGAAACUGGUUGGCUUGAGUGCAGAAGAGGAAAGUGGAAUUCCCAGUGUAGCGGUGAAAUGCGUAGAUAUUGGGAGGAACACCAGUGGCGAAGGCGACCUUCUGGUCUGUAACUGACGCUGAGGCGCGAAAGCUAGGGGAGCGAACAGGAUUAGAUACCCUGGUAGUCCUAGCCGUAAACGAUGGGUACUAGGUGUAGGGGGUUUAGACGCCCUCUGUGCCGCAGUUAACCCAUUAAGUCCCCCGCCUGGGGAGUACGGCCGCAAGGCUGAAACUCAAAGGAAUUGACGGGG
rnacentral:rRNA from 1 species